rnacentral:rRNA from 1 species
GUGUCAGCAGCCGCGGUAAUACAGAGGUGGCAAGCGUUGUUCGGAAUCACUGGGCGUAAAGGGCGCGUAGGCGGCCUUCUAAGUCAGACGUGAAAUCCCCCGGCUUAACCUGGGAACUGCGUCUGAUACUGGGAGGCUUGAGUAUGGGAGAGGGAUGUAGAAUUCCAGGUGUAGCGGUGAAAUGCGUAGAUAUCUGGAGGAAUACCGGUGGCGAAGGCGGCAUCCUGGACCAUAACUGACGCUGAGGCGCGAAAGCUAGGGGAGCAAACGGGAUUAGAUACCCCGGUAGUCCUGGCCCUAAACGAUGAAUGCUUGGUGUGGCGGGUAUCGAUCCCCGCUGUGCCGAAGUUAACGCGUUAAGCAUUCCGCCUGGGGAGUACGGUCGCAAGGCUGAA